CCUCAGUAACGGCGAGUGAAGCGGCAACAGCUCAAAUUUUAAAGCUGCCKCCUUCGGCGCACGCGUUGUAAUUUGGAGAGGCAUCUUCGGUUCGGGCGCCGGCCUAUGUUCCUUGGAACAGGACGUCACAGAGGGUGAGAAUCCCGUGCCUGGCUGGCUGUCCCGACCCAUGUGAAGCGCCUUCGACGAGUCGAGUUGUUUGGGAAUGCAGCUCAAAAUGGGUGGUAAAUUUCAUCUAAAGCUAAAUAUUGGCGGGAGACCGAUAGCGCACAAGUAGAGUGAUCGAAAGAUGAAAAGCACUUUGAAAAUAGAGUUAAAAAGUACGUGAAAUUGUUGAAAGGGAAGCGCUUGAGACCAGACUCGGCUGGGGAUGAUCAGCGGCCCUUCUGGGCCGUGCACUUGUCCCCGGUCGGGCCAGCAUCGGUUGAGGCGGUGGGAUAAAGGCCCGGGGAAUGUGGCUCCUCUCGGGGAGUGUUAUAGCCCCGGACGCAAUGCCGCCAGCCUUGACCGAGGGCCGCGCACUUUGUGCUAGGAUGCUGGCGUAAUGGUCUUCAGCGACCCGUCUUGAAACACGGACCAAGGAGUCUAACAUCUAUGCGAGUGUUUGGGUGUCAAACCCUUGCGCGGAAUGAAAGUGAACGGAGGUGGGAACCCCCUCGCGGGGCGCACCAUCGACCGGUCCUGAUGUCUUCGGAUGGAUCUGAGUAGGAGCAUAGCUGUUGGGACCCGAAAGAUGGUGAACUAUGCCUGAAUAGGGUGAAGCCAGAGGAAACUCUGGUGGAGGCUCGCAGCGGUUCUGACGUGCAAAUCGAUCGUCAAAUUUGGGUAUAGGGCGAAAGACUA
rnacentral:rRNA from 1 species